UACGGAGGGAGCAAGCGUUACUCGGAAUUAUUGGGCGUAAAGGGCGCGUAGGCGAUCUGACAAGUCUGGUGUGAAAGCCCACAUGUUAACUGUGGAAGUGCAUUAGAAACUGUUGGAUUUGAGUUCAGGAGAGGAAGGCAGAAUUCCCGGUGUAGCGGUGAAAUGCGUAGAGAUCGGGAGGAAUACCAGUGGCGAAGGCGGCAUCCUGGACCGACAUUGACGCUGAUGAGCGAAAGCCAGGGGAGCAAACGGG
rnacentral:rRNA from 1 species